CUUGUUUUAAUUUCUUCAUCCCGAAACCCCCACUCCGUAACCUUCAUCUUCUUCAACCGCGAGCACCAAAGAGAUUCCUGCGUCUUCUUCAAUCGCAAGACGCCUUCUCUCUGUCGUGUAGCCGUCAUCUUCCAGCCCAAAAGGAUUUGUGCGUCCCGAACUCUAUCACAAGGUUGCCUUGCCCGUGAAUCCUCGUCCAAAAGGUUGCACAUUUCCUCUACAAACUGAACUUGAAAAUCUCGAUUGGGUUGUGACUAAGUAAGAUUGGCUAGAGAGAGUUGGAACUGAGUUACUCAGAGGAUGAUCAGGAACUGAAGCGAAGGCAGCCAGGUUAUUGGUUGGACUGUGGA